rnacentral:lncRNA from 1 species
AGAAAUAGCCGAACAUUGAGAAAGUUGCUUUUGAGGCACUAUGAUGGCCUUUCAUUUUCAAGGUUUUUGUAGUGCAGAAAAAAGGUAGAAUGACCAAGAAAAAAUAUAUAUGAUUACUAAUUGUUUGAAGAAUUAAACCAAUAAGCACAUUCCUAUUUUUAUUUGAGCAAUGGAGUUCUCAACUAAUGAAGUGAUUCUUGAUAAGGACCUUAGAAAUAUGAUCGGCAGCUUAUGUUUACGUGUUUGAAUAUGUAUGGUUAUAGGGGUCACUCAUGGUAACCCAUAUAUGUCCAUGAAGUAAAAAUAGAAAAAGUGUUACUUAUACUCAUCUUGUGAAACUGGUUACCAAUUUAAGUUAAAAUUGAAAUUUUCAUCUAAGUUUCAUCUUAAAGUUCACAUUGAACUCACAUUCAUAGUUGAUAAUUCAUCUUGUGAGUAUUUUUUUUCCCUCUCAGAAUUUAGAGAAAAUCAAGAUUUUGAUAACAUUUUGGACUACACCACGUGAGUAUAAUUUCCCACAUUUUUCACUACAUUGGUUACCUUGGGACAUCCCUACGACCACAUGCAUGAUAUGUAUAAUUUGGCCUUUUAUGUUUAUAUAGUCAAAGCAAUGACAUACGCUAUCUUAAGUCAAACACUAAUCAUCCAAUAUUUUUAAGCAGGAUUAUGUAAUUUGUAAGUAAAUCUCAUAAAUUUCCUGCGUUUGCUUAGCUUUUCAAGCUUUGUUGGUUUUCUUUUAACCAUUACUUUAAUCAUGUGCUUGCUCUACAUUGACUAAUACUCGCAUGUCAUGCCUCCAAAUCGAUCAUCCCAUAUAAUACACUUCUUAAGGGUUCACGUCUUUUAGCACUCCAUGUCACACUGAUAUCAUCUUCAAUUUAAUCAGAGUCACAAUUAGAGUAUGAUAGCUUAACUUAAAAGUCCCAGUGCAACUUAUGUAUAUACCUUAAUGUUGAAUAAUCACUAACGGGAUGUGGGGGCAAUUGUAUUUGAUCUAUAUUAUUCUUAAAAAGUUACAUUCCACUACUUUUAAUCAAUUUAUUAGAGUAUAUUACAUGGCACAUAACAUACAUAAUCCACAAUAUGUUUAUGUUUUUGCAUAUAAAAACUAUCCAAAUGUUUAUAAAUAACAUAAGCAAUAAAUCCUAAGUAGCUAAUCUGCCAAUAGAUCAAUAAUAGACAAAGAACGGUCAAAUAUAUAACAUUUUUCUUGAUAUAUAUAUAAGAGAGAGAGAGAGAGAAAUUAAGUUAUCCAAAACUAAACUAAAAGACCAAAUCUAGUAAACCUAUUUGAAUAUAUAGCUAGGGUAUAGCAUUCGAGACAACAGCACAUAUGGAGGGACAGGGUGUGAAGGGUAAGGGUUGGUUGGUGUAGGGAAACAAAUAGCAAAAUAGCAAAAAUAUAGGUUUUAGCUAUAGGCAGCAUGGUUUGACCGCAUAAUCCAGAGUGUUG